rnacentral:rRNA from 1 species
GGGCCCGCACAAGCGGUGGAGCAUGUGGUUUAAUUCGACGCAACGCGAAGAACCUUACCCAGGCUUGAAGUGCGAGUGAUCAUCGGUGAAAGCCGACUUCCGCAAGGACACUCGUAGAGGUGCUGCAUGGCUGUCGUCAGCUCGUGUCGUGAGAUGUUGGGUUAAGUCCCGCAACGAGCGCAACCCUUGUCUGCUGUUGCCAUCAGUUCGGCUGGGCACUCUGCGGAGACUGCCGGUGAUAAACCGGAGGAAGGUGGGGAUGACGUCAAGUCAGCAUGGCCUUUAUGUCUGGGGCUACACACGUGCUACAAUGGCCGGUACAGAGCGCUGCGAUCCCGCGAGGGGGAGCUAAUCGCACAAAGCCGGUCUCAGUUCGGAUUGCAGGCUGCAACCGCCUGCAUGAAGUUGGAAUCGCUAGUAA